rnacentral:rRNA from 1 species
GUCGUAACAAGGUUUCCGUAGGUGAACCUGCGGAAGGAUCAAUAACAUUCACAAACUCAAAAAAAUACAAACCGCGUAUAGUUGUACACGUCGUGGUUUCCACGACACACAACUUUUUCCAAACCCACAUCCACCAAAUGGUUUUGAACAAAAAAACAAAGAACCAACAUCCACCUUUCAACGAUGGAUCUCUUGGUUCGCGCAACGAUGAAGAACGCCGCGAAACGCGAUAUGUAAUGUGAAUUGCAGGAUUAAGUGAAUCAUCAAAUCUUUGAACGCAAAUGGCUGCUCUGGCUUUUAUGGUUGGAGCAUACCUGGUUCAGACUCGUUUGCCAAAAGCAAAAUGCAUCAUCAUAGAUUCGAACAUGGGCGUUGCUACUCCGCAUCGCUUCAAGAAUUUACAAUGUGGCUUUGCGCCCCUCUAGCAUCCAAGCGGUGCGCCGAGGUAGUAAAACACCAAGGCUGUGUCGUGCUUUUGUGGAGCGUAGCUUUUUACAAACUCAUGCUUUAGAGCUGAACUCAGGCAAGAGGACCCGCCGAAUUUAAACAUAUUACUAAGCGGAGGAAAAGAAACUAACAAGGAUUCCCUCAGUAACGGCGAGUGAAGCGGGAACAGCUCAAUGUGAAAAUCUGCGUCCUCCGGGCGUCGAAUUGUGGUCUGGGUUUGGUUUCAUAACGGGCACCGCGUGUAAUUCGUUGUUGAGUCAGCGAGCCGAAGAAGGUCAUAGCCCUGUUCCGUGCGGUCGCCCCCACCUGGAACCCUUCCUGUGAGUCGUGUUGCUUGGGACUGCAGCGCCAACCGGGUGGUAAUGUCCAUCCAAAGCUAAAUAUUUGCGCGAGACCGAUAGCGAACAAGUACCGUGAGGGAAAGAUGAAAAGAACUUUGAAAAGAAAGUGAAAUAGUACGUGAAAUCGUUGGAAGCAAGCGCAGCUCUCUGUCUUCUCCGCGCUGGACUCGUCCAGCAUGGAGGGCACGAUCGAUGUGGGCCCCGCCAGCAGGCACGCCACCGGCUCCGGUCGCGGCAGUCGCCCAGCGGGCCUCGUGUCGAGGAUUUUCGGGUCGCCCUACCUCUCCGGAGGUUGCGUCCCCAGGAUCGUGCUGUUUUGUCGGAGAGCUUCGACCCGUCUUGAAACACGGACCAAGGAGUCUGACAUGGGUGCGAGUAGUAGGGUGGCAAGCCCUAGUGCGCAGAGAAAUCGAGAUAGCCUUAGCCUGUAAAAGGGUGCAUGGCUGGCAGCGCGUUGUUCUUCUGUUCAGUGCCUAGCAAGAGCACUUAUGUCGGGACCCGAAAGAUGGUGAACUAUGCGUGA